rnacentral:rRNA from 1 species
CCCUUAGAUGUUCUGGGCCGCACGCGCGCUACACUGAUGCAUUCAACGAGUCUAAAACCUGCUCUGAUAGGGGUGGGUAAUCUUUUGAAUGUGCAUCGUGAUUGGGAUAGAUGAUUGCAAUUUUUCAUCUUCAACGAGGAAUGCCUAGUAAACGCAAGUCAUCAGCUUGCAUUGAUUACGUCCCUGCCCUUUGUACACACCGCCCGUCGCUCCUACCGAUUGAAUGAUCCGAUGAAUAUCAUGGAUUGAGGAUGCAAGCAGGUUCGCCUGUCUUCAUCUUCGAGAAGUGAAGUAAAUCUUAUCAUUUAGAGGAAGGAGAUGUCGUAACA